ensembl:snoRNA
AGCCUGUGAUGGUUUCAAUAGAAGAGUAGUGGACAGAAGUGAUUUCUGAGAACUCCAUGCUGAGGCU